GAUGAACGCUGGCGGCGUGCCUAAUACAUGCAAGUCGAGCGAACGGACGAGAAGCUUGCUUCUCUGAUGUUAGCGGCGGACGGGUGAGUAACACGUGGAUAACCUACCUAUAAGACUGGGAUAACUUCGGGAAACCGUAGCUAAUACCGGAUAAUAUUUUGAACCGCAUGGUUCAAAAGUGAAAGACGGUCUUGCUGUCACUUAUAGAUGGAUCCGCGCUGCAUUAGCUAGUUGGUAAGGUAACGGCUUACCAAGGCAACGAUGCAUAGCCGACCUGAGAGGGUGAUCGGCCACACUGGAACUGAGACACGGUCCAGACUCCUACGGGAGGCAGCAGUAGGGAAUCUUCCGCAAUGGGCGAAAGCCUGACGGAGCAACGCCGCGUGAGUGAUGAAGGUCUUCGGAUCGUAAAACUCUGUUAUUAGGGAAGAACAUAUGUGUAAGUAACUGUGCACAUCUUGACGGUACCUAAUCAGAAAGCCACGGCUAACUACGUGCCAGCAGCCGCGGUAAUACGUAGGUGGCAAGCGUUAUCCGGAAUUAUUGGGCGUAAAGCGCGCGUAGGCGGUUUCUUAAGUCUGAUGUGAAAGCCCACGGCUCAACCGUGGAGGGUCAUUGGAAACUGGAAAACUUGAGUGCAGAAGAGGAAAGUGGAAUUCCAUGUGUAGCGGUGAAAUGCGCAGAGAUAUGGAGGAACACCAGUGGCGAAGGCGACUUUCUGGUCUGUAACUGACGCUGAUGUGCGAAAGCGUGGGGAUCAAACAGGAUUAGAUACCCUGGUAGUCCACGCCGUAAACGAUGAGUGCUAAGUGUUAGGGGGUUUCCGCCCCUUAGUGCUGCAGCUAACGCAUUAAGCACUCCGCCUGGGGAGUACGACCGCAAGGUUGAAACUCAAAGGAAUUGACGGGGACCCGCACAAGCGGUGGAGCAUGUGGUUUAAUUCGAAGCAACGCGAAGAACCUUACCAAAUCUUGACAUCCUUUGACAACUCUAGAGAUAGAGCCUUCCCCUUCGGGGGACAAAGUGACAGGUGGUGCAUGGUUGUCGUCAGCUCGUGUCGUGAGAUGUUGGGUUAAGUCCCGCAACGAGCGCAACCCUUAAGCUUAGUUGCCAUCAUUAAGUUGGGCACUCUAAGUUGACUGCCGGUGACAAACCGGAGGAAGGUGGGGAUGACGUCAAAUCAUCAUGCCCCUUAUGAUUUGGGCUACACACGUGCUACAAUGGACAAUACAAAGGGCAGCGAAACCGCGAGGUCAAGCAAAUCCCAUAAAGUUGUUCUCAGUUCGGAUUGUAGUCUGCAACUCGACUACAUGAAGCUGGAAUCGCUAGUAAUCGUAGAUCAGCAUGCUACGGUGAAUACGUUCCCGGGUCU
rnacentral:rRNA from 1 species